UACAGAGGUCCCAAGCGUUGUUCGGAUUCACUGGGCGUAAAGGGUGCGUAGGCGGUCGGGUAAGUCUGAUGUGAAAUCUCACAGCUUAACUGUGAAACUGCAUUGGAUACUAUUCGGCUUGAGAGUUGGAGGGGGGGCUGGAUUUCUUGGUGUAGCAGUGAAAUGCGUAGAGAUGCGGAGGAACACCGAUGGCGAAGGCAGCCCCCUGGGCUAACACUGACGCUCAGGCACGAAAGCGUGGGGAGCAAACAGG
rnacentral:rRNA from 1 species